GUGAAGAACGCAGCGAACUGCGAUAAGUAAUGUGAAUUGCAGAAUUCAGUGAAUCAUCGAGUCUUUGAACGCACAUUGCGCCCCCUGGCAUUCCGGGGGGCAUGCCUGUCCGAGCGUCAUUGCUGCCAUUCAAGCCCGGCUUGUGUGUUGGGUCGUCGUCCCCCCCGGGGGACGGGCCCGAAAGGCAGCGGCGACACCGCGUCCGGUCCUCGAGCGUAUGGGGCUUUGUCACCCGCUCGAUUAGGGCCGGCCGGGCGCCAGCCGGCGUCUCCAACCUUCUAUUUUACCAGGUUGACCUCGGAUCAGGUAGGGAUACCCGCUGAACUUAAGCAUAUCAAUAAGCGGAGGA
rnacentral:misc_RNA from 1 species